rnacentral:rRNA from 1 species
GUGCCUUCGGGAACUCUGAGACAGGUGCUGCAUGGCUGUCGUCAGCUCGUGUUGUGAAAUGUUGGGUUAAGUCCCGCAACGAGCGCAACCCUUAUCCUUUGUUGCCAGCGAUUCGGUCGGGAACUCAAAGGAGACUGCCAGUGAUAAACUGGAGGAAGGUGGGGAUGACGUCAAGUCAUCAUGGCCCUUACGAGUAGGGCUACACACGUGCUACAAUGGCAUAUACAAAGAGAAGCGACCUCGCGAGAGCAAGCGGACCUCAUAAAGUAUGUCGUAGUCCGGAUUGGAGUCUGCAACUCGACUCCAUGAAGUCGGAAUCGCUAGUAAUCGUGGAUCAGAAUGCCACGGUGAAUACGUUCCCGGGUCUUGUACACAC